AUCGCUUCUCGGCCUUUUGGCUAAGAUCAAGUGUAGUUCUUUAUAUAUUCCAGAUAUUAGUCUUUUGUUUGAAGGAUGGCUGGUAAAAAAUUUUUCCCAUUCUGUGGGUUGUCCCCUCACUCCAUUGGUCAUUUAAAUUGCUGUGCAAAAGUCUUUUAUUAUGAUGAGAUCCCAG
ensembl:snRNA U2 U2 spliceosomal RNA